UACAGAGGGUGCAAGCGUUAAUCGGAAUUACGUGGGACGUAAGCGCGCGUAGGUUGGUUUAGUUAAGUUGGAUGUAGAAACGUCCCCGGGCUACAACCGUGGGAACUGCUAUUACAAAACUGACAAGCUAGAGUAUGGUAGAGGGUGGUGGAAUUACCUGUGUAGCGGUAGAAAUGCGUAGAUAUAGGAAGGAACACCAGUGGCGAAGGCGACCACCUGGACUGAUACUGACACUGAGGUGCGAAAGCGUGGGGAGCAAACAGGAUUAGAAACCCGUGUAGU
rnacentral:rRNA from 1 species